rnacentral:rRNA from 1 species
ACACUGGAACUGAGACACGGUCCAGACUCCUACGGGAGGCAGCAGUGGGGAAUAUUGCGCAAUGGGGGAAACCCUGACGCAGCAACGCCGCGUGAGUGAGGAAGGACUUCGGUCUGUAAAGCUCUGUUAAUGUGGAAAAAUGGUAGUUGGUCUAAUAGGCCGAUUAUUUGAUGGUACACAUAGAGGAAGCACCGGCUAACUUCGUGCCAGCAGCCGCGGUAAUACGAAGGGUGCAAGCGUUGUUCGGAUUUAUUGGGCGUAAAGCGCGCGUAGGCGGACCUGUAAGUCAGAUGUGAAAUCUCGGGGCUCAACCUCGAAACUGCGUCUGAAACUGCAGGUCUAGAAUCUUGGAGGGGGAAGGGGAAUUUCGCAUGUAGGGGUAAAAUCCGUAGAUAUGCGAAGGAACACCAGAGGCGAAGGCGCCUUCCUGGACAAGUAUUGACGCUGAGGCGCGAAAGCGUGGGGAUCAAACAGGAUUAGAUACCCUGGUAGUCCACGCUGUAAACGAUG